rnacentral:lncRNA from 1 species
CACAAAGGGAGUAAUUUGUCUCAUUGGUUGCUUUAGGCUCUUCGACAUAACUUAGCUGACAUACUUUGAAGGGCAGAAUAAUUUUGACCUAUUCUGCUCAGGAAUAAACAGCAUAAAGGGGCAGAAAACAGGACAGCUGGGCUGCCCACUGGGUGCUUCCUUCAGCCAAAUGUGUUCCAUGAAGAGACCACUCCAAAGCCAAGCAUGAAGGUGACAAGAAUCCUUAAACUAUUUUUUACCAGAUUGCCCAGAGUAGGUUUUCCUUGAAGACGUCAGCUGCACCUGGGGAAGACAAGAGAGCAUCACUGACUGUGAGGACGAUUGCUGGCGGGAUGCAGGCAUUGAAGAAUACCAUCCGCUUCUGCUGGAGGAACUAGGACGACGUCGUUGGAUUUCA